rnacentral:rRNA from 1 species
GACGAACGCUGGCGGCGUGCCUAAUACAUGCAAGUCGAACGCAGUGGGGACGGGUGAGUAACACGUGGGUAACCUCCCAUCAGAGGGGAUAACACUUGGAAACAGGUGCUAAACCGAUAUUGAUGGAUGGACCCGCGGUGCAUUGGCUAGUUGGUGAGGUAACGGCUCACCAAGGCCACGAUGCAUAGCCGACCUGAGAGGGUGAUCGGCCACACUGGGACUGAGACACGGCCCAGACUCCUACGGGAGGCAGCAGUGGGGAAUUUUGGACAAUGGGGGAAACCCUGAUCCAGCCAUCCCGCGUGUGCGAUGAAGGCCUUCGGGUUGUAAAGCACUUUCAGCGGGGAGGCGUUACCCGCAGAAGAAGCACCGGCUAACUCCGUGCCAGCAGCCGCGGUAAUAC